GAACUAGCUGCUACUUAAGAUGCGCUCUUACGAGACCUUCGGGUCUAGUGGCGCACGGGUGCGUAACGCGUGGGAAUCUGCCCUUAGGUUCGGAAUAACUCAGAGAAAUUUGAGCUAAUACCGGAUGAUGACGUAAGUCCAAAGAUUUAUCGCCUAGGGAUGAGCCCGCGUAAGAUUAGGUAGUUGGUGGGGUAAAAGCCUACCAAGCCGACGAUCUUUAGCUGGUCUGAGAGGAUGAUCAGCCACACUGGGACUGAGACACGGCCCAGACUCCUACGGGAGGCAGCAGUGGGGAAUAUUGGACAAUGGGCGAAAGCCUGAUCCAGCAAUGCCGCGUGAGUGAUGAAGGCCCUAGGGUUGUAAAGCUCUUUUACCCGGGAUGAUAAUGACAGUACCGGGAGAAUAAGCCCCGGCUAACUCCGUGCCAGCAGCCGCGGUAAUACGGAGGGGGCUAGCGUUGUUCGGAAUUACUGGGCGUAAAGCGCACGUAGGCGGCUGUUCAAGUCAGAGGUGAAAGCCUGGAGCUCAACUCCAGAACUGCCUUUGAAACUAGACAGCUAGAAUCAUGGAGAGGCGGGUGGAAUUCCGAGUGUAGAGGUGAAAUUCGUAGAUAUUCGGAAGAACACCAGUGGCGAAGGCGGCCCGCUGGA
rnacentral:rRNA from 1 species